rnacentral:sRNA from 1 species
GCCAGGCAUGGCGGCGCAUGCCUGUAAUCCCAGCUACUCGGGAGGCUGAGGCAGGAGAAUCACUUGAACCCAGGAGGCGGAGGUUGCAGUGAGCCAAGAUUAUGCCACUGCACUCCAGCCUGGGUGACAGAGGGACACUCCGUCUCAA